UGGGGAAUUUUGGACAAUGGGGGAAACCCUGAUCCAGCCAUCCCGCGUGUGCGAUGAAGGCCUUCGGGUUGUAAAGCACUUUUGGCAGGAAAGAAACGUCAUGGGUUAAUACCCCGUGAAACUGACGGUACCUGCAGAAUAAGCACCGGCUAACUACGUGCCAGCAGCCGCGGUAAUACGUAGGGUGCAAGCGUUAAUCGGAAUUACUGGGCGUAAAGCGUGCGCAGGCGGAUCGGAAAGAAAGAUGUGAAAUCCCAGAGCUCAACUUUGGAACUGCAUUUUUAGCUACCGGGGUGGAGUGUGUGAGAGGGAGGUGGAAUUCCGCGUGUAGCAGUGAAAUGCGUAGAUAGGCGGAGGGACACCGAUGGCGAAGGCAGCCUCCUGGGAUAACACUGACGCUCAUGCACAAAAGCGUGGGGGGCAAACAGG
rnacentral:rRNA from 1 species